AGGUGGGUGGUUCAGUGGAUAGAACAUUAGGUUUAGAAUCAGGAAGAUAAGUUCUAAUCUUGUCUCAUAUG
rnacentral:tRNA from 1 species